GGUUGUGUAGUGUAGUGGUGAUCACUCCGGAUUUUGAUUGUACUAUCAAAACCUUUCCGGCAACCCCGGUUCGAGCCCGGGCACGACCU